UGGGGAAUAUUGGUCAAUGGAGGCAAGUCUGAACCAGCCAUGCCGCGUGAAGGAAGACGGCCCUCUGGGUUGUAAACUGCUUUUAUUCGGGAAGAAACCUAUUUACGUGUAGAUAGCUGAAUGUACCGAAGGAAUAAGGAUCGGCUAACUCCGUGCCAGCAGCCGCGGUAAUACGGAGGAUCCAAGCGUUAUCCGGAUUUAUUGGGUUUAAAGGGUGUGUAGGCGGGCUAUUAAGUCAGGGGUGAAAGCCGAUAGCUCAACUUUCGAACUGCCCUUGAUACUAAUGGGCUUGAAUGAACAAGAGGUAGGCGGAAUGUGUCAUGUAGCGGUGAAAUGCAUAGAUAUGUCACAGAACACCAAUUGCGAAGGCAGCUUACUAUGGUUUUAUUGACGCUGAGGCACGAAAGCGUGGGGAUCAAACA
rnacentral:rRNA from 1 species